rnacentral:rRNA from 1 species
UACGUAGGGUGCGAGCGUUGUCCGGAAUUAUUGGGCGUAAAGAGCUUGUAGGCGGUCUGUCGCGGCUGCUGUGAAAAUCCGGGGCUCAACCCCGGACUUGCAGUGGGUACGGGCAGACUAGAGUGUGGUAGGGGAGACUGGAAUUCCUGGUGUAGCGGUGAAAUGCGCAGAUAUCAGGAGGAACACCGAUGGCGAAGGCAGGUCUCUGGGCCACUACUGACGCUGGAGAAGC